UCGUGAAUCGUAAUCAAAAAGACUUUUAACGAGUAAAAAAGAAGUAGCAAAACAGAAAAAAAGUCUUUAUAAUCAUUUAUAUUCUGGGUCUUAACAAAAAAUUGAUAGCACACUAGCGUCUUCAUCGACGGAAUCGUGGAAAAUAGGUCGGCGGUAAGUGGAAUGGGACGUGAUGCUGAAUUGUUUAAUGUAUUAUUCUGCAUGUGGACUUGGACCUGUUCCACUGGCAUUAAAAUCCAUAAACGGCGAAUUACAGAAAGGACUGUGAGGGUAUAUGUGCUUAGAGUGUAGUAAAAUUUACUGCCAGUUGGUAAACAAUGCUUGGUAUGGUUAAACCCACACAGUCUAAGACAAUGGAAAAAUGGACCUGGAAAAGUGGAAUACCAUGCUUUGUUGUCAACACAAAACUUGAAACAGCAAUGGUGGGCAGCCUGGGUGGACCAUCCCGUGUAAACAAUAUGUUGUCCACAUUAAACCUAAAAAAAUAUCGGACACCAACUUAAAAAUAAUGGAACAGCCAGCUGGUGAGGUGAAAGAGCAAGUUGCAACUGAAUAAGCUAGGAUUGCUUUCUCAAAUGAAAUAACUUGAAGGAAGGGAACUCCUGCAGGUUACUCAUAUGCAUCGGUGGAAGUCCAGUCUGGUAGUCAGUUCGCAGCAUACGUCACGCCAACUGUUCCAAUAACUAAAGAGGCUUUACAAGUUACAGGCAUUUCAUUGACUGAUGGGACAAUGACAUUCAUUGGAUAAAUUGUGCUGCUAGU